rnacentral:rRNA from 2 species
AUGGACGAAAGUCUGAUGGAGCAACGCCGCGUGAGUGAAGAAGGGUUUCGGCUCGUAAAACUCUGUUGUUAAAGAAGAACAUAUCUGAGAGUAACUGUUCAGGUAUUGACGGUAUUUAACCAGAAAGCCACGGCUAACUACGUGCCAGCAGCCGCGGUAAUACGUAGGUGGCAAGCGUUGUCCGGAUUUAUUGGGCGUAAAGCGAGCGCAGGCGGUUUUUUAAGUCUGAUGUGAAAGCCUUCGGCUCAACCGAAGAAGUGCAUCGGAAACUGGGAAACUUGAGUGCAGAAGAGGACAGUGGAACUCCAUGUGUAGCGGUGAAAUGCGUAGAUAUAUGGAAGAACACCAGUGGCGAAGGCGGCUGUCUGGUCUGUAACUGACGCUGAGGCUCGAAAGUAUGGGUAGCAAACAGGAUUAGAUACCCUGGUAGUCCAUACCGUAAACGAUGAAUGCUAAGUGCUGGAGGGUUUCCGCCCUUCAGUGCUGCAGCUAACGCAUUAAGCAUUCCGCCUGGGGAGUACGGCCGCAAGGCUGAAACUCAAAGGAAUUGACGGGGGCCCGCACAAGCGGUGGAGCAUGUGGUUUAAUUCGAAGCUACGCGAAGAACCUUACCAGGUCUUGACAUACUAUGCAAAUCUAAGAGAUUAGACGUUCCCUUCGGGGACAUGGAUACAGGUGGUGCAUGGUUGUCGUCAGCUCGUG